rnacentral:rRNA from 1 species
UACAGAGGUCUCAAGCGUUGUUCGGAUUCAUUGGGCGUAAAGGGUGCGUAGGCGGCGCGGUAAGUCGGGUGUGAAAUCUUGGAGCUUAACUCCGAAACUGCAUUCGAUACUGCCGUGCUUGAGGACUGGAGAGGAGACUGGAAUUCAUGGUGUAGCAGUGAAAUGCGUAGAGAUCAUGAGGAAGACCAGUGGCGAAGGCGGGUCUCUGGACAGUUCCUGACACUGAGACACGAAGGCCAGGGGAGCAAACGGGG